rnacentral:rRNA from 1 species
CUUUACUGUAGCUUGGAAUUGAAUUUGGGUUUAUUUUGCGCAGAAUAGGUGGGAGGCUAAGAUAUUAUAUUUGCGGAUAUAAAGAAGCUAACAAUGAGAUACCACUCUAAUUAAACUAGAAUUCUAAUCUUGAUGCCGUUAUCCGGCCAAGAUACAGUUCCAGGUGGGCAGUUUGACUGGGGCGGUCGCCUCCUAAAAGGUAACGGAGGCGUGCAAAGGUUCUUUCAGGCUGGUUGGAAAUCAGUCGUAGAGUAUAAAGGCAUAAAAGAGCUUGACUGCGAGACCUACAAGUCGAGCAGAGACGAAAGUCGGCCUUAGUGAUCCGACAGUGCUGAGUGGAAAGGCUGUCGCUCAACGGAUAAAAGUUA